GGCGGCGUGCUAUACAUGCAAGUCGAACGAGCUCUCCCAAAUUGAUUUUAUGCUUGCAUAAAUGAUUUUUGGAUUCGGAGCGAGUGGCGAACUGGUGAGUAACACGUGGGUAACCUGCCCCGAAGCGGGGGAUAACAUUUGGAAACAAGUGCUAAUACCGCAUAAUUAGUUGGAACCGCAUGGUUCCAACUUGAAAGAUGGCUCUGCUAUCACUUUGGGAUGGACCCGCGCCGUAUUAGUUAGUUGGUGAGAUAAAAGCCCACCAAGACGAUGAUACGUAGCCGACCUGAGAGGGUAAUCGGCCACAUUGGGACUGAGACACGGCCCAGACUCCUACGGGAGGCAGCAGUAGGGAAUCUUCCACAAUGGACGAAAGUCUGAUGGAGCAACGCCGCGUGAGUGAUGAAGGUUUUCGGAUCGUAAAACUCUGUUGUUAAAGAAGAACAAGUGUUAGAGUAACUGUUAACGCUUUGACGGUAUUUAACCAAAAAGCCACGGCUAACUACGUGCCAGCAGCCGCGGUAAUACGUAGGUGGCAAGCGUUGUCCGGAUUUAUUGGGCGUAAAGGGAGCGCAGGCGGUUUCGUAAGUCUGCUAAGAGAGCCCUCAGCUCGGCUGAAGAAGUGCACUGGAAACUACAAAACUUGAGUACAGAAGAGGAAAGUGGAACUCCAUGUGUAGCGGUGAAAUGCGUAGAUAUAUGGAAGAACACCAGUGGCGAAGGCGGCUUUCUGGUCUGUUACUGACGCUGAGGCUCGAAAGCAUGGGUAGCGAACAGGAUUAGAUACCCUGGUAGUCCAUGCCGUAAACGAUGAAUACUAGGUGUUGGAGGGUUUCCGCCCUUCAGUGCCGCAGCUAACGCAUUAAGUAUUCCGCCUGGGGAGUACGACCGCAAGGUUGAAACUCAAAGGAAUUGACGGGGGCCCGCACAAGUGGUGGAGCAUGUGGUUUAAUUCGAUGCUACGCGAAGAACCUUACCAGCUCUUGACAUCUUCUGCCAACCCAAGAGAUUGGGCGUUCCCUUCGGGGACAGAUUGACAGGUGGUGCAUGGUUGUCGUCAGCUCGUGUCAUGACAUGUUGGGUUAAGUCCUGCAACGAGCGCAACCCUUAUUAU
rnacentral:rRNA from 1 species